rnacentral:rRNA from 1 species
AUGUCUAAGUAUAAGCAACUAUACGGUGAACCUGCGGANGGCUCAUUAAAUCAGUUAUCGUUUAUUUGAUAGUACCUUACUACAUGGAUAACCGUGGUAAUUCUAGAGCUAAUACAUGCUAAAAACCUCGACUUCGGAAGGGGUGUAUUUAUUAGAUAAAAAACCAAUGCCCUUCGGGGCUCCUUGGUGAAUCAUAAUAACUUAACGAAUCGCAUGGCCUUGCGCCGGCGAUGGUUCAUUCAAAUUUCUGCCCUAUCAACUUUCGAUGGUAGGAUAGUGGCCUACCAUGGUAUCAACGGGUAACGGGGAAUUAGGGUUCGACUCCGGAGAGGGAGCCUGAGAAACGGCUACCACAUCCAAGGAAGGCAGCAGGCGCGCAAAUUACCCAAUCCCGACACGGGGAGG